UCAGGACUCUCGCAGUGCUGGCUGUGCAAUCAACAUGUAAAUACUUCCCUAGGUGCUAAGAAUUGAUAUCAAAGGAGCAUUACAAAAUAUUGUCUAACAGAAGUACCAGGGCUGGAUCCCAAAGUUUUGUGUAGAUCUUGAUAAAGAGUUUGGAUUUUAUUCUAACAAGAGUGAAGAGCACGACAAUGUUUGCAGAAGAGUGAUGGCUUCUUUCAGGCAACAGUGACAAUUACACCUCCUCUUUGUCUCUUUGAUCCUCCACCCUCUCCCUCCAGCACCUGGUACAAAGCUGGGUACCCAGCAGACACUCUGUAAAUUAAAGUGCUGCCAGCCUGAACAAUCUCAGUGGAAGAGCUAAGUGGGUCCAUUUCCUUGCUUUACAAAUGAAGUCGCUGAGGCUCAGAGGGGUUAAGUUCUUUUCCUGAGCUAGGGAAUAUCUGGUUAAGUAAGAUCUGAUAAGUGUGUGUGUGUGUCUGUGUGUUUGGACAGGGGGUGCUUCCGCCUUUCACUGCCCCAAUAGGAGUCAGUCCUAUUCCUUUUGACUUCUCUACUUGAUGCUCUACCCACCGGCCUCAGGCCACAUGCCCUGGUCCACCCUGCUCACAGAACUUCCUGCCUGGCCCCUGUUACCUGACCGAUGCCACAGGCAUCACUGGGUCCCAGGAGCCAGCCUCUACUUUUGGACCCCAGGCCAGGAUCUAAAAAUAUCUCUGAGUAUUUCCAACACCUACAACAGAUGCGCCUGCAAAUUACCUGGCCCCAGUGGUGGGGAGCAGGGGAGGAAAGGGCAUCGUUGUUCUGAAAGCAUUACACAUUUAAUUUGCAAAGUUAUAUCAUGCAUUUGUGCACAGGUCAACUUUCUAGGAGUCGAUUUCGAAAACAGAGACAGGUCAAGGAUCCUGAGGGUGUCCUUUGCAGAGAAGGCAGGGGAGGUUGUGGAGGCCUGUCAGAUGCUUUCACACACUCAAGGCCAGUACUCCCCUUCCCUCUCAUAGAUGAGAAAUGAUGGACAUUCAUGGAGUCCUUUCUCUGCGUGUGCCAGGUACCUCUACAGACAACAUUAUAUUUCUUUCUGAGAUCAACCUUGCAGAGUGUGCCUUG
rnacentral:lncRNA from 1 species